UGGGGAAUCUUGCGCAAUGGCCUAACGGCUGACGCAGCGACGCCGCGUGGAGGAUGACGCCCUUCGGGGUGUAAACUCCUGUUGCCCGGGACGAAUAGCCCGUUUCGACGGGUCUGACGGUACCGGGUGAGGAAGCACCGGCUAACUCCGUGCCAGCAGCCGCGGUAAUACGGAGGGUGCGAGCGUUGUCCGGAAUCACUGGGCGUAAAGGGCGCGUAGGCGGUGGGGUAAGCGUGUGGUGAAAGUCCGGGGCUCAACCCCGGAUCGGCCGUGCGAACUGCUUCACUUGAGCACUGUAGAGGCAGGUGGAAUUCCGGGUGUAGCGGUGGAAUGCGUAGAGAUCCGGAAGAACACCGGUGGCGAAGGCGGCCUGCUGGGCAGUGGCUGACGCUGAGGCGCGACAGCGUGGGGAGCAAACAGG
rnacentral:rRNA from 1 species